ACAAGAUGCCGAACGGUUGUUGUGUAUUGGGCUUCAAUAGAACGCAAAUAAGUCACCCAAAAGUAUCGUUUUUCCUCUUUCCCAAGAAAGAUAAAAAUAUAAAAACUUUUAAUAACUUUUAAGAAGAUGUUGAGGAAAUGCCAUCUCAGACCAAAAAAGAAAAACAACGAAAUCUAUAUACCGACGAAAACGGGAGGUUGAAAGUGUAAGUACAGAACCUACAUAGCAGCUUUGCAAACCAGGGAGGAGAUCUUGAGAACUCUUUGUGGUUCUCUCUUGCCAAAAAAGACUGGGCAGCUGAAAAAAAUCUUGUCAAGUCUACAUUCGAAUACACUGCGAACAUAAUUGAAAUGGCUCUGUACAUGGCAAAAAGUAAUAUGAAAGAGUUUUUUACACUGCUGAAAUAAUGUGCGAUCCGGGAACAAUUGCUGGGAAAUUGCCGAAACCAGACAAAAAUCAGUUCGUGUCCAGUUUACUCAGCCGAUUCAACAGAAAUUAAAUACUGUAUAGCCAUAAUACAGUAACAUGACCAUGUAACACUUUUUUUUUAUAAGAGCCAUUCAAAUUACGCCCAGGCUCACUGUUAUUAUUUUUUGCUGAUUCCAGCAUUGCUCUAUUUCCAUUUACAGAAAAUUGUUAUUGUACAGCAGUAUAUUACUGUGCUAUAAACGUUAUAAGAUCGUUAUCGUUGAAGUAUAAACAGGCCUUUAUCCUCAACCUGGGCUUCAAUAUUUGGAAAAGCUUUUGGUUUGUACCUAAUUGUACUUUAAACAUUUCUUAUGAGGUAGUUCUUGUUAUCUUGCAUAGUAAAAUACCU